UACAGAGGUCUCAAGCGUUGUUCGGAUUCAUUAGGCGUAAAGGGUGCGUAGGCGGCGCGGUAAGUCGGGUGUGAAAUCUCGGAGCUUAACUCCGAAACUGCAUUCGAUACUGCCGUGCUUGAGGACUGGAGAGGAGACUGGAAUUUACGGUGUAGCGGUGAAAUGCGUAGAUAUCGUAAGGAAGACCAGUGGCGAAGGCGGGGUCUCUGGACAGUUCCUGACGCUGAGGCACGAAGGCCAGGGGAGCAAACGGG
rnacentral:rRNA from 1 species